rnacentral:rRNA from 1 species
GAUGAACGCUGGCGGCGUGCCUAAUACAUGCAAGUCGAGCGAACAGACGAGGAGCUUGCUCCUCUGACGUUAGCGGCGGACGGGUGAGUAACACGUGUAUAACCUACCUAUAAGACUGGGAUAACUUCGGGAAACCGGAGCUAAUACCGGAUAACAUGUUGAACCGCAUGGUUCAACAGUGAAAGACGGUCUUGCUGUCACUUAUAGAUGGAUCCGCGCCGCAUUAGCUAGUUGGUAAGGUAACGGCUUACCAAGGCAGCGAUGCGUAGCCGACCUGAGAGGGUGAUCGGCCACACUGGAACUGAGACACGGUCCAGACUCCUACGGGAGGCAGCAGUAGGGAAUCUUCCGCAAUGGGCGAAAGCCUGACGGAGCAACGCCGCGUGAUUGAAGAAGGUCUUCGGAUCGUAAAACUCUGUUAUUAGGGAAGAACAAAUGUGUAAGUAACUAUGCACGUCUUGACGGUACCUAAUCAGAAAGCCACGGCUAACUACGUG